rnacentral:rRNA from 1 species
UACGUAGGGUGCAAGCGUUGUCCGGAAUUAUUGGGCGUAAAGAGCUCGUAGGCGGUCUGUUGCGUCGGCUGUGAAAACCCGGGGCUCAACUCCGAGCCUGCAGCCGAUACGGGCAGACUAGAGUUCGGCAGGGGAGACUGGAAUUCCUGGUGUAGCGGUGAAAUGCGCAGAUAUCAGGAGGAACACCGGUGGCGAAGGCGGGUCUCUGGGCCGAUACUGACGCUGAGGAGCGAAAGCGUGGGGAGCAAACAGG